rnacentral:tRNA from 1 species
UCCCUGGUGGCUGAGUCAGUAAAGAAUCCGCCUACAAUGCAGGAGACCCAGGUUCGAUUCCUGAAUUGGGAA